CGCUGCGCCUCUGCUCCCGGCGCCCUGGUGUGGUCAGUCCAGGCUGAGCUCCCCUGCGCGCCCUAGUUCACCUUAUAUUUUUUCGCAAAACUUUACAAGAAAAAGGAAAGAGGAUUUCCCCCCUUUCGUGAGGGAUGCCUGGCCUGGGCUUGGGCAUGCACCUUCGGGGAAAAUCCGCUCUCCCCUGUCCCCUAUUCAACUGGGCAAGAAGUUGGGAAGGAUCUGGAAGGAGGGUUUACCCGCACCGCUCCCCCCACACCAGGCACCGCUCCCCCCACACCAGCUCAGAUGAGGAAACUGUCUGGGAAGAUUCCAGUCCAAUCCCUGGGUCGACUACAUUGUGCAGCCCUGGGACCGUGGCCUACAAACCUGAAGCCUAAAACAGUGCCUGGAACACAGCAGCGCUCAAAAGCUACGGGUUGAAAAAGAGACCGAAAGCUCAUACGUGCUACAGUAGGUGCCCAGUGGGGACAGACAGACUGGGCCCACAUAGUCCUAACGUUACUCUAUAGAUGCCCCUCCAUCUGCCCAGCAUAAACUAAUCCUCCAGCUGGAGAUGUCUUCUUCCGCGGACCCAUAGACUGAGCCCCAGGUUCAAAUACUCCCAAACUGUCUAUAAUCCCAAAGUGGAACUUCUCCAGUUCUCUGAGAUUCAUGGGGGGAGACUUGUACUGCAGGCUGAAAGUCAGGCCAUGCUGAGAAAACACAGCCAGUGACUCAAGGUGGAGAUGAGGGACAGUGCAGUUAGGAAGCUGAUCGAGAGUGGGGUGUGGUGGUGCACACUGGUAAUCCCUGCACUCUGGAGACUGAGGCAGAAGGAUCCCUGCAAGUUUGAGGCCAGCCUGGGCUUCAUAGCAAGUUCAAGGAUAGCCAGAACUGCCUAGUGAGAUCCUUUCUCAAAAAAAAGGAAGCCAGCCCCAGGUUAAAUCCUAGGUGGGAGAUGGAGAUCAAUGGGGUCCAGAUAACAGGGAAUUAGUUAACUGCUGAGACCUUGACAUUGAGGCCUCCCUGGGAGAAGCAAAGCCCUCUCCCACCUUGCUGCUUCCUCUCCUCCUGCACAGCCUGCCUGUCUCCCAGCCAGGGCCAGGGCCAUGGGGCCUGAGUCUUUGGGGACCAGCAGCCUGAAGCCUUUUUUUGUGUGUGUGGUGGGGGGAUCAAACUCAGGACCUUGUGCUUGCAAGCCACGAGCGGUACAACUGAGCUAAAUCUCCGGCUUUCCUGAAGUUUUCUAUAUGUGGACUUUGGGGCCCUAACCUGUCCAGGGCUGGGAGUGGUGCGAAAGGGCAGAACUCACGUAGAACAUGUCGUCUCUCCCGACUCCUGCCAUCCCAGGCCGAAAGAAGUGACUCCUCCCAGACACUGCAGAUACCUCCCCAGUCCCUUCCUUGCCAGAAUGCUAGUGUUCUUGUCCUCCCUUACCUCCCAUACUCGUUGGAAGAAUGGCUCCCUUACAGAGGUAGUUAGCCCCUCUCCAGCAGUUGUCUUUUCUUUUCUUUUUUUUAAAAUUUUUUAUUUCUUUUGGUACCCG
rnacentral:lncRNA from 1 species